rnacentral:rRNA from 1 species
CCUACGGGUGGCAGCAGUGGGGAAUAUUGCACAAUGGGGGAAACCCUGAUGCAGCGACGCCGCGUGAGUGAAGAAGUAAUUCGUUAUGUAAAGCUCUAUCAGCAGGGAAGAAAAUGACGGUACCUGAGUAAGAAGCCCCGGCUAACUACGUGCCAGCAGCCGCGGUAAUACGUAGGGGGCAAGCGUUAUCCGGAUUUACUGGGUGUAAAGGGAGCGUAAACGGCAGUGCAAGUCUGGAGUGAAAGGCGGGGGCUCAACCCCGGAGAUGCGUUGAAACUGGCUGGCUGGAGUUGGAGGGAAGUAAGCGGAAUGCGCGGUGGAGCGGGGAAAUGCUUAGAUAUCGCGCAGAACACCGAUGGCGAAGGCAGCGUACUGGCUUCACACUGACGCUGAGGCACGAAAGCGUGGGUAGCGAACAGGAUUAGAUACCCUAGUAGUC